rnacentral:rRNA from 1 species
GUUUACGGCCAUACCACCCUGAACACGUCUGAUCUCGGAAACUGACCAGGGUCGGACCUGGUUAGUACUUGGAUGGGAGACAGCAUUUGGGGAUGGUCCAUUUCCCCCCCCAAACAAAAUCCAGUAUCCACAAAAA